rnacentral:rRNA from 1 species
AUGGGUUUGCUCUUAGAUUUCCUUUCCCAGCUCCAGAAUGGACAUAUUCUUGGAUCCUCAAGACAUGCCUGGAAAAUUCAAGGAGUGUUGGCAGUACUAUCCAGGUUAGACUUUGCACCGUUGUCUGUAUUGAUCUUCCUUGCCUACAAGUACUGGCAAACAAAGAUAUCAGUUGACGCAGUUGAGAGGUUCCUCCAGAUGCAACUAGCCCUUGGCCCAACAAGGUACGCUUACACAGACAUCACUGCGAUCACUAGCCACUUCAAAGAGAAGUUGGGACAAGGAGGCUAUGGGUCUGUGUACAAAGGUGUGCUUCCUGGUGACGUCCAUGUUGCCAUCAAAAUGUUGGUCAGUUCCAUGUCCAAUGGAGAAGAAUUCAUCAGUGAGGUGUCCAGCAUCGGAAGCAUACACCAUGUCAAUGUAGUGCGUCUGGUGGGUUUCUGCUCAGAGAAAAUGAGGAGGGCUCUUGUUUAUGAGUACAUGCCCCAUGGAUCUCUUGAGAAGUACAUCUUCUCGCCAGAGAAGAGUUUCUCAUCGGACAAGCUCAAUCAGAUUGCUCUGGGCAUUGCCAGAGGGAUCGACUACCUGCACCGAGGGUGUGAUAUGCAGAUAUUACACUUCGACAUCAAGCCGCACAACAUCCUGUUAGACAGUGAUUUCACCCCAAAAAUUGCUGACUUUGGGCUGGCGAAACUGUACCCCAGGGACAACAGCUUUUUGCCAGUGAGUGCUGCCCGGGGAACAGUUGGUUACAUAGCUCCUGAGAUGGUGUCCCGUAGCUUUGGCGCCAUAUCCUCCAAGUCUGAUGUCUACAGCUUCGGGAUGUUGUUGCUAGAGAUGGCCGGAGGACGGAGGAACGUGGACCCACAAGCAUCAAGAAGCCAGACGUACUACCCGUCAUGGGUGUACAAUCAGCUGUCUCGGCAAGAGGCUGUUGGUAUCCAUCAGGUGGAGAGGAAGCUGUGCGUCGUUGCGCUUUGGUGCAUCCAGAUGAAGCCAGACGAUCGACCGGCCAUGAGCGAGGUGCUAGACAUGCUCGAAGCUGGCAUCGAUGGCCUGGAGAUGCCUCCUGAGCCCUUCUUCUGCGGGGACGAGUAUGCUCCUGCUGCAGAUUCUUCAGUAUUAUCAGAGUUAAGUACAUUAUCGGAGUGA